UCUAUAAAUAGAGAAAAUCUCUAUCUAUGGAUGCAUAGCAAACAAAUCAGAUUGAUAGAAGACAGAAAUAGAGAAAGAGGAAUGAGCUUGUGGGCGUCCCUUCUCCUUGGCAUCUCCCCUUAUUGCUGCCCUCUUCCUCCUUAUCGUGGGCCCAUCUUGGACAUCCCCCUUAUUGGUGUGAGAUGUCACACCAGUAUCUCUCUUUCUUCUUUUGGUU
rnacentral:lncRNA from 1 species